rnacentral:rRNA from 1 species
AUUGAACGCUGGCGGCAGGCUUAACACAUGCAAGUCGAGCGGAGAUGAGGUGCUUGCACCUUAUCUUAGCGGCGGACGGGUGAGUAAUGCUUAGGAAUCUGCCUAUUAGUGGGGGACAACAUUCCGAAAGGAAUGCUAAUACCGCAUACGCCCUACGGGGGAAAGCAGGGGAUCUUCGGACCUUGCGCUAAUAGAUGAGCCUAAGUCGGAUUAGCUAGUUGGUGGGGUAAAGGCCUACCAAGGCGACGAUCUGUAGCGGGUCUGAGAGGAUGAUUCGCCACACUGGGACUGAGACACGGCCCAGACUCCUACGGGAGGCAGCAGUGGGGAAUAUUGGACAAUGGGGGGAACCCUGAUCCAGCCAUGCCGCGUGUGUGAAGAAGGCCUUUUGGUUGUAAAGCACUUUAAGCGAGGAGGAGGCUACCGAGAUUAAUACUCUUGGAUAGUGGACGUUACUCGCAGAAUAAGCACCGGCUAACUCUGUGCCAGCCGCCGCGGUAAUAC